GAACGAACCUUCGGGUUAGUGGCGGACGGGUGAGUAACACUUUUGCAUCUGCCCUCAGGAAGGGGAUAACGGUUGGAAACGACCGCUAAUACCCCAUAUGCCGAGAGGUGAAAAGAAAUUCGCCUGAGGAUGAGCUCGCGUCUGAUUAGCUAGUUGGUGUGGUAAUGGCGCACCAAGGCUUCGAUCAGUAGCUGGUCUGAGAGGAUGAUCAGCCACACUGGGACUGAGACACGGCCCAGACUCCUACGGGAGGCAGCAUUGGG
rnacentral:rRNA from 1 species